rnacentral:tRNA from 1 species
GAGGGUAUAGCUCAGUGGUACAGUGCUAGCUUAGCAUGCACGAGGUCCUAGGUUCGAACCCUAGCACCUCCG